GCGGCGUGCCUAUCAUGCAAGUCGAGCGAGUCUGCCUUGAAGAUCGGAGUGCUUGCACUCUGUGAAACAAGAUACAGGCUAGCGGCGGACGGGUGAGUAACACGUGGGUAACCUGCCCAAGAGAUCGGGAUAACACCUGGAAACAGAUGCUAAUACCGGAUAACAACAGAUGAUGCCUAUCAACUGUUUAAAAGAUGGUUCUGCUAUCACUCUUGGAUGGACCUGCGGUGCAUUAGCUAGUUGGUAGGGUAACGGCCUACCAAGGCGAUGAUGCAUAGCCGAGUUGAGAGACUGAUCGGCCACAUUGGGACUGAGACACGGCCCAAACUCCUACGGGAGGCAGCAGUAGGGAAUCUUCCACAAUGGACGCAAGUCUGAUGGAGCAACGCCGCGUGAGUGAAGAAGGGUUUCGGCUCGUAAAGCUCUGUUGUUGGUGAAGAAGGACAGGGGUAGUAACUGACCUUUGUUUGACGGUAAUCAAUUAGAAAGUCACGGCUAACUACGUGCCAGCAGCCGCGGUAAU
rnacentral:rRNA from 1 species